UUUUUUUGGAGUCUUGCUCUGUCACCCAGGCUGGAGUGCAGUGGUACGAUCUCGACUCACUGCAACCUUCACUUCCCAGGUUCAAGUGAUUCUGAUUCUCCUGCCUCGGCCUCCCGAGUAACUGGGAUUACAGGCGCCCACCACCAUGCCCGGCUAAUUUUUAUAUUUUUAGUAGAAACAGUUUCACCAUAUUGGCCAGGCUGGUCUCAAACUCCUGACUUUGUGAUCCUCCUGCCUUGGCCUCCCAAAGUGCUGGGAUUACAGGUGUGAGCCACCGCACCCAGCCACCGUGGUCAAUUUCAAACUGCCAUAUUGAUGUCACUGAACCUGGAGUUGGGAAGAAUUUCUGGUAACACACCUUUGUAUUCUGUUUCCAAUACACUGGUAGAGUAUCCAAGAUAGCCAGAAGAAUAAAGACGACAAUAAAACAGUAAAAUGAUCAGGAAGUGGCAAGUUUUAAAUAUUUGUUUUUUAAACAAUUUUAUUGAGAUAUAAUGGACUUAAAUUGUAUGGGUUUUUAUCUUUCACCUUAGAAGGGAUUCAGUUGUAUAUUUUUAAAAUAUAUAUUUUGAUGUUUUUAUACAUCGUACAUUCCCAAAACCAAAUGUUUCUUCCAGCCCUUUUCAAUUUAUCCUUUGCAACAUAUAAAUUACUGAUAGAAGGACAUAUUCUGCCUUUUGUAGGGGCUAUUUACAAAUGUCCAUCAAUGGAAGACAUCAUUAUAAAACCUGAUGAACCCUUUCCCAGUCUUCUAUCAUUUAUCUUUUUUUAUUUUUAUUUUUAUUUUUUUUUGAGACAGGGUCUCGUUCUGUUAUCCAGGCUGGAGUGUAGUGGUGGAUUUAUCAUUUUGUCAUUCUCUUUUUUUUUUUUCAGCAUAAACUAUCAAGCAAUUCAUGGUUGUUCUUGUUUCAUCUGUCCCCAUGUGGAUUUAUAAUCAGAUAUUUCGUUAAAGGCAUAAAGUCUUCAGAUUGCAUUUCUAAAAUUUAAAGACCGUUUCGUAACUAUAAGAUUAACAUACAAAAUAAAAAUUGUAUGUGUACAAAAUUAUAAAUGUUUUAUAUACAGUACUGAAUUGUAUCAACUGCUGCUUAUUUAAGACAGAUUGCUAUCAGCAUACAAAAUAUAUUUGAUGUUUAGUAGGUGUGUCUUUGAGUUUAUUAACCUAUACGUACUGCUUACUUCUUUAAUAUUUAUGUAACGUUGCUAAACUGCUUGUCCAUUAGCUUCCCACAUUGUGCUGGGCGCAGUGGCUCAUGCCUGUAAUCCCAGCACUUUGGGAGGCCGAGGCGGACGGAUCACGAGGUCAGGAGUUCGAGACCAGCCUGAUCAACAAGGUGAAACCAUGUCUCUACUAAAAAUACAAAAAUUAGUCGGGCAUGGUGGCGGGCGCCUGUAGUCCUAGCUACUCAUGAGGCUGAGGAAUUGCUUGAACCCAAGAAGGUGGAGGUGGCAGUGAGCCGAGACUGCGCCGCUGCACUCCAGCCUGGAUGAUGGAGCAAGACUCUGUCUCAAAAAAAAAAAAAAGAAAAGAAAAGUUUUUUGAAACAAAUGAUAAUAGAAACACAGCAUGCCAAAAUCUGUGGGAUACAGAAAAAUAAGUACUAAGAAGAAUGUUUAUAGCUAUAAGUGCCUACAUUACAAAAGUAAAAAAAAAAACUUUAAAUAAAC
rnacentral:lncRNA from 1 species